GUCUACGGCCAUGCCACCCUGAACAAGCCUGAUCGUGUCUGAUCUAGGAAGCUAAGCAGAGUCGGGCCUGGUUAGUACUUGAAUGGGAGAUCACCUAGGAAUACCAGGUAUUGUAGUGU
rnacentral:rRNA from 1 species